rnacentral:rRNA from 1 species
AAGGGGGGUGCGAGCGGUGGGCGGAAAGAGAGGGCGUAAAGAGCGUGUAGGCGGCUGAAUAAGUCAGAUGUGAAAUCCCUGGGCUUAACCCAGGACGUGCAUUUGAAACUAUUCGGCUAGAGUAGGGGAGAGGAAAGUGGAAUUCCUGGUGUAGAGGUGAAAUUCGUAGAUAUCAGGGGGAACACCGGUGGCGAAGGCGACUUUCUGGCCCUAUACUGACUCUGAGACGCGAGAGCGUGGGUAGCAAACAG